rnacentral:rRNA from 1 species
UACAGAGGUCUCAAGCGUUGUUCGGAUUCAUUGGGCGUAAAGGGUGCGUAGGCGGCGCGGUAAGUCGGGUGUGAAAUCUCGGAGCUUAACUCCGAAACUGCAUUCGAUACUGCGGUGCUUGAGGACUGGAGAGGAGACUGGAAUUUACGGUGUAGCAGUGAAAUGCGUAGAGAUCGUAAGGAAGACCAGUGGCGAAGGCGGGUCUCUGGACAGUUCCUGACACUGAGGCACGAAGGCCAGGGGGAGCAAACGGG